rnacentral:rRNA from 1 species
GACGAACGCUGGCGGCGUGCUUAACACAUGCAAGUCGAACGGAAAGGCCCUGCUUUUGUGGGGUGCUCGAGUGGCGAACGGGUGAGUAACACGUGAGUAACCUGCCCUUGACUUUGGGAUAACUUCAGGAAACUGGGGCUAAUACCGGAUAGGAGCUCCUGCUGCAUGGUGGGGGUUGGAAAGUUUCGGCGGUUGGGGAUGGACUCGCGGCUUAUCAGCUUGUUGGUGGGGUAGUGGCUUACCAAGGCUUUGACGGGUAGCCGGCCUGAGAGGGUGACCGGCCACAUUGGGACUGAGAUACGGCCCAGACUCCUACGGGAGGCAGCAGUGGGGAAUAUUGCACAAUGGGCGGAAGCCUGAUGCAGCAACGCCGCGUGCGGGAUGACGGCCUUCGGGUUGUAAACCGCUUUCGCCUGUGACGAAGCGUGAGUGACGGUAAUGGGUAAAGAAGCACCGGCUAACUACGUGCCAGCAGCCGCGGUGAUACGUAGGGUGCGAGCGUUGUCCGGAUUUAUUGGGCGUAAAGAGCUCGUAGGUGGUUGAUCGCGUCGGAAGUGUAAUCUUGGGGCUUAACCCUGAGCGUGCUUUCGAUACGGGUUGACUUGAGGAAGGUAGGGGAGAAUGGAAUUCCUGGUGGAGCGGUGGAAUGCGCAGAUAUCAGGAGGGACACCAGUGGCGAAGGCGGUUCUCUGGGCCUUUCCUGACGCUGAGGAGCGAAAGCGUGGGGAGCGAACAGGCUUAGAUACCCUGGUAGUCCACGCUGUAAACGGUGGGUACUAGGUGUGGGGUCCAUUCCACGGGUUCCGUGCCGUAGCUAACGCUUUAAGUACCCCGCCUGGGGAGUACGGCCGCAAGGCUAAAACUCAAAGGAAUUGACGGGGCCCCGCACAAGCGGCGGAGCAUGCGGAUUAAUUCGAUGCAACGCGUAGAACCUUACCUGGGUUUGACAUGGAUCGGGAGCGCUCAGAGAUGGGUGUGCCUCUUUUGGGGUCGGUUCACAGGUGGUGCAUGGCUGUCGUCAGCUCGUGUCGUGAGAUGUUGGGUUAAGUCCCGCAACGAGCGCAACCCUUGUUCACUGUUGCCAGCACGUUAUGGUGGGGACUCAGUGGAGACCGCCGGGGUCAACCCGGAGGAAGGUGGGGAUGACGUCAAGUCAUCAUGCCCCUUAUGUCCAGGGCUUCACGCAUGCUACAAUGGCUGGUACAGAGAGUGGCGAGCCUGUGAGGGUGAGCGAAUCUCGGAAAGCCGGUCUCAGUUCGGAUUGGGGUCUGCAACUCGACCUCAUGAAGUCGGAGUCGCUAGUAAUCGCAGAUCAGCAACGCUGCGGUGAAUACGUUCCCGGGGCU